UUCAGCAGGGUUACAGUAGAUGGGAAGAAACUGUUCCUGAGCCUGCUGGUGCGGGAACGAAAAGACCUGUACCACCUGCCUGAUGGUAGGAGGACAAACAGUUUGUGCCAUGGGUGUGAAGGGUCCCUGAUGAUCCCACACAUCCUACACUGACACCGCUUGUGCUGGAGGUCUACAAUGGCUGAGAGCUGGCCACCAGUGAUGUACUGGAGGUCUACAGUGGCUGAGAGCUGGCCACCAGUGAUGUGCUGGAGGUCUACAGUGGCUGAGAGCUGGCCACCAGUGAUGUGCUGGAGGUCUACAGUGGCUGGGAGCUGGCCACCAGUGAUGUGCUGGAGGUCUACAGUGGCUGAGAGCUGGCCACCAGUGAUGUGCUGGAGGUCUACAGUGGCUGAGAGCUGGCCACCAGUGAUGUGCUGGAGGUCUACAGUGGCUGAGAGCUGGCCACCAGUGAUGUGCUGGGCGGUUUCCAACACCUGUUGCAGGGCCUUCCGGUCGGCUAUGGAGCAACCACUAAACCACACCGUGGCGCAGUUUGUCUGAAUGCUCUCAAUUUCAGCCUCCUCAAAAAGUACAGGUGCUGCUGCACAUUUUAGACCAGGGCUGAUGUGUUGAGGGUCCAGGAGAGGUCCUCGUGAUGUGGACACAGGAAUUUGAAGCUGGGCACACGCUCCACCUCAGUGCCAUCAAUGAGGACUGGGACGUGACUACAUAUUUACAUAUACCUAAUGCAUGUUGUUCCUGCCUCCUCCCAGGCAGUUGUGUUCAUUUUGAGCUCCAUUCAUUUGUUCAGCUGUUGGGAAUACCCAUUAGCUGGGAUAAAACUGAAGCCUAUCUGAUCACAACACACAAAUUUGUUUUAUCAGUGUUGAAGUGUAAUGUUUGGAGCAGUGUAUAAACACUGUUACUGUCAAACUGACACAAUUUGUUGUCGGCUAUGACAUUGACUUCGAUGUUGGGCCG
ensembl:lncRNA